AUUGAACGCUGGCGGGAUGCUUUACACAUGCAAGUCGAACGGCAGCACGGACUUCGGUCUGGUGGCGAGUGGCGAACGGGUGAGUAAUACAUCGGAACGUGCCCAGUCGUGGGGGAUAACGUAGCGAAAGCUACGCUAAUACCGCAUACGAUCUAAGGAUGAAAGCGGGGGACCGUAAGGCCUCGCGCGAUGGGAGCGGCCGAUGCAGAUUAGGUAGUUGGUGGGGUAAAGGCUCACCAAGCCGACGAUCUGUAGCUGGUCUGAGAGGACGACCAGCCACACUGGGACUGAGGCACGGCCCAGACUCCUACGGGAGGCAGCAGUGGGGAAUUUUGGACAAUGGGCGCAAGCCUGAUCCAGCCAUUCCGCGUGCAGGAUGAAGGCCCUCGGGUUGUAAACUGCUUUUGUACGGAACGAAAAGGCUCUGGUUAAUACCUGGGGCUCAUGACGGUACCGUAAGAAUAAGCACCGGCUAACUACGUGCCAGCCGCCGCCGUAA
rnacentral:rRNA from 1 species